GCGCUUGAAGAAUCAUUUGCUUGCGCCCAUAUGCACAGCUGCCGGGUUCGCCUGGCUAUGGUGAUAAAGUGUGUCGUAUAAUAGACGCAGCGGACCCGGGGGCAGUACCCGGCGGCUCCACCACCUCCCUCGCUUCGCGGGGAAGAUGACGGGGCCGAACUAGGAUCGACGUGUGUUGAAAAGCGAUGCUUUUACCCGGCCCGUGUACGCCGUUAAACUGUGCAAAACUCACAAGUGCCAACGAUAACGAAGCACUCGCCAUUGCAGCGUAAUUGAGGGCCUCACGGCCUGACAUUACUCUAAAAUAGCGCGGUUGAACCCACCGGGCAACAGAAGGGAAUUCA
rfam:Sphingomonas sp. SKA58 scf_1100007010441 genomic scaffold, whole genome shotgun sequence.